rnacentral:rRNA from 1 species
CAAUAGCGUAUAUUAAAGUUGUUGCGGUUAAAAAGCUCGUAGUUGGAUUUCUGCCGAGGACGACCGGUCCGCCCUCCGGGUGAGUAUCUGGCUCGGCCUGGGCAUCUUCUUGGAGAACGUAGCUGCACUUGGCUGUGUGGUGCGGUAUUCAGGACUUUUACUUUGAGGAAAUUAGAGUGUUUCAAGCAGGCAUACGCCUUGAAUACAUUAGCAUGGAAUAAUAAGAUAGGACCUCGGUUCUAUUUUGUUGGUUUCUAGAUCUGAGGUAAUGAUUAAUAGGGAUAGUUGGGGGCAUUCGUAUUUAACCGUCAGAGGUGAAAUUCUUGGAUUUGUUAAAGACGGACUACUGCGAAAGCAUUUGCCAAGGAUGUUUUCAUUGA